rnacentral:rRNA from 1 species
AGCGAACGUUAGCGGCGGGCCUAACACAUGCAAGUCGAACGCGAAAGGUCUUCGGACUGAGUAGAGUGGCGCACGGGUGAGUAACACGUAGGUAAUCUACCCUUUGGCGGGGGAUAACGUUCCGAAAGGAGCGCUAAUACCGCAUAAGACCACGGAGUCUCCGGACGCUGUGGGAAAAGGUGGCCUCUUCUUGAAAGCUACCACCGAAGGAUGAGCCUGCGUCCCAUCAGCUAGUUGGUAAGGUAAUGGCUUACCAAGGCGAAGACGGGUAGCUGGUUUGAGAGAAUGAUCAGCCACACUGGCACUGGAACACGGGCCAGACUCCUACGGGAGGCAGCAGUGAGGAAUAUUGGGCAAUGGGCGAAAGCCUGACCCAGCCACGCCGCGUGAGUGAUGAAGGCCCUCGGGUCGUAAAGCUCUGUGGAGAGGGACGAAAACCUGGUUUCAAAUAGGCUCCAGGCUUGACGGUACCUCUUUAGCAAGCACCGGCUAACUCUGUGCCAG